rnacentral:rRNA from 1 species
UACGUAGGGGGCAAGCGUUGUCCGGAAUCAUUGGGCGUAAAGAGCGUGUAGGCGGCCCGGUAAGUCCGCUGUGAAAGUCCAGGGCUCAACCCUGGGAUGCCGGUGGAUACUGUCGGGCUCGAGUCCGGAAGAGGAGUGUGGAAUUCCUGGUGUAGCGGUGAAAUGCGCAGAUAUCAGGAGGAACACCGGUGGCGAAGGCGGGUCUCUGGGCCGAUACUGACGCUGAGGAGCGAAAGCGUGGGGAGCGAACAGG